rnacentral:rRNA from 1 species
GAUGAACGCUGGCGGCGUGCUUAACACAUGCAAGUCGAACGGAAAGGCCCAAGCUUGCUUGGGUACUCGAGUGGCGAACGGGUGAGUAACACGUGGGUGAUCUGCCCUGCACUUCGGGAUAAGACUGGGAAACUGGGUCUAAUACCGGAUAGGACCACAUUUUGGAUGGUGUGGUGGAAAGUUUUUCGGUGUGGGAUGAGCUCGCGGCCUAUCAGCUUGUUGGUGGGGUAAUGGCCUACCAAGGCGUCGACGGGUAGCCGGCCUGAGAGGGUGUACGGCCACAUUGGGACUGAGAUACGGACCAGACUCCUACGGGAGGCAGCAGUGGGGAAUAUUGCACAAUGGGCGCAAGCCUGAUGCAGCGACGCCGCGUGGGGGAUGACGGCCUUCGGGUUGUAAACUCCUUUCGCUAGGGACGAAGCGCAAGUGACGGUACCUGGAGAAGAAGCACCGGCUAACUACGUG